rnacentral:rRNA from 1 species
UGGGGAAUAUUGCACAAUGGAGGGAACUCUGAUGCAGCGACGCCGCGUGAGUGAUGAAGGAAUUCGUUUCGUAAAACUCUGUUCUAUGGGAAGAAAAGGACUGUACCAUAGGAGAAAGCUCCGGCUAAAUACGUGCCAGCAGCCGCGGUAAUACGUAUGGAGCGAGCGUUGUCCGGAAUUAUUGGGCGUAAAGGGUGCGCAGGCGGCUUUACAAGUUGGAUGUGAAAUAUUGUGGCUCAACCACAAACGUGCAUCCAAAACUGAAAAGCUUGAGUUAAGGAGAGGUAAGUGGAAUUCCUGGUGUAGCGGUGGAAUGCGUAGAUAUCAGGAGGAAUACCGGUGGCGAAGGCGACUUACUGGACUUAAACUGACGCUCAGGCACGAAAGCGUGGGGAGCAAACAGG